GCCGGGGCGCUCCGGAAGCGGAGGGGCCCGGGGGAAAAUGGCGGCCAGCUCGAAGGCGGAGCGGGACGGCCUGGGCGGAAAGUGGGGCUCAACGAGCGGGUCCUCGGCCGGGCCAGGCCGGGCUCGUGGGGCCUCCACGAGCACGUUGUGAGGCGUCUGGAUCGCGUCAAGGAUGAGGAGCCCUGCAGUGACCUGUACCUGAGGAUCUGCGAGGGGCUCAGCGACUUCUCUAAGGUCAUUGUUCUUGGCUUCAAGGGAGUGUGCCCUGUGUCAUCGCCAUGUUUUCCCCCCAGCAGGGACUGCCUCCUCCACACCAGCUAUUCCCUGGGGGCCUGUGCUGUUGCCGUCCACGUUACAGGUGCCUUGUUGUAGACGUCUCGUGCUGCUCGAGAGAUGCCCCAGCCCAGGUUUGCAGCUGGUGGUGGAGCCCCCCUGAACGGAAGAGGCCAGCCCUGGGUCUGGGUGGUUUGGGCCUCUUUUUGGGGUGAAUAGAAGGGUGUCUGUGUGUGUCUCAGGGGGUGAUGAUGUCAUGUGGGGCACCCCAAUGUCAUUGGGGCAGCGAUGAUGCAACAGAGGAGCAGUUGACUGGGGGAUGGGGAGGGGGUUACAUGAAGAUCUCCCGAAAGAGGUAGGUCACAGCCCCAAAAGGUCUGAAAAUUCUUGGGAUGCAGUAAAAAAAAAUGUAAAAAGCUGUAACUAUGGGCAUGAGGCACUGAAAUAGGGAACAGUCUCUCAUUUAUAUAUGAGAAAAAAAAAAUAAUAUUAUGUAUGUAAAAUAAGUUCAAAAUAAAGUCCUCUGUCUCUAAGG